UGAAUACAACUUUUUGGCCACAUAGAAGAAUUGGCCACGUAUAAAAAAUUCAUUUUUAUUUGUUACAUGCUCCUACAUCCUACCAAAUUCUUCUUCUACUAUUUGUGAUACGACAUCAAUUUACCAUAAUUUUUUUGGAAUCAACAAAUUGACAGCAGUGUUCUCAUACCUGUUUUUGCGAAUUUUGUGAGUAGACACAUAGGACUACGAGCUCACUUACUUAAAAUCGGUGCGGCAAGUGAUAGCAUGUGUAGGGCAUGCGGGGAAGAUGAUGAGACGUUGGAGCAUUUCCUUUGUAAUUGCCCGGCUUUCGCGUCCAACAGAUACCGGUACUUAGGUGGAGACACAAUAUCAGACAUGAACCAACUUAGGGGAGUGGUAUUGAAAUCAAUUAAGGAUUUUAGCGCACAACAAGCCGAUUACUAGCUUAGGUGUAUGUCCAUAGUGGCAUGGGGCGGAUUAAUAUCUGCGCCCUCUUUUCAGUCUAACCUAACCUAUUCUUUCUGUUCUUCAAUUUCGACAAUGCAGGAGUAUUCCACGGAGGACCAACUUUCGUAAGUAGCAUUUCAUCUAAAGAAUUCAUUGAAUGCAGAGUAUUCCAAUCCAUUGAACUCAGAAGUGAAUUCAAUUUAAUGUAAUCUCUCUUUGAGAAGCAAUAUACACACUUAUUUUGAUAUGGUUUCCUACGGCAUAUAGAAAGGAACGAUGGAUGUGAAGGUCUAAAACUGGGUGAUAUUUAUCCCCUGGACGGAUAAUGGGGUCAAAAGGAAAAAGCAAUAUAUCGCGGGGAUGACUUUCGAAUAUGAGAUCAAGGAGUUUUCCACAUGAGUUAUAUACCUUAUUUAUUUACCACAGAUGCAUUUUGUAGUACUCUCAUUCAUUCCAUUGGGUAACAAAUCGUUAAUAUUAAGAUUCUCAAUCCAUCUCCAGAUAGAUUAAUAUAAAUGAAAUAUGUUUCAAGUACGUUUCAACACUUGAACCCGGAGUAAUGUAUGAACAGGUAAUAGAUAUGGAUGCAUAUCUAAGACGGAUCUUAACAGUGACAAUUUCAGUAUCAACCGGUAUGGGAAAGAAAAUUUCUUCAUUAGGUAAUUCAGAAGAAACAGCUAGCAAGACACCACCGCCUCUUCUUUUGGAACUAUCUACACGAUCACGUCUAAAUAUCUGAAACUUUUGUAUAUGUUAUAACAUUGUAACUAAAAUCGUAACUCUCAAUAUAUAAGGCUGAUAAUUUAGUGCUUAAAUCUCUAA